rnacentral:rRNA from 1 species
ACGAACGCUGGCGGCGUGCCUAAUACAUGCAAGUCGAGCGGAGUUUGAAAGAAGCUUGCUUCUUUCAAACUCAGCGGCGGACGGGUGAGUAACACGUGGGUAACCUGCCUAUAAGUCUGGGAUAACAUUCGGAAACGGAUGCUAAUACCGGAUAUGCGCUUUGAUCGCAUGAUCAAAGCGGGAAAGACGGAGCAAUCUGUCACUUAUAGAUGGACCCGCGGCGCAUUAGCUAGUUGGUGAGGUAAUGGCUCACCAAGGCGACGAUGCGUAGCCG